GCCCGUGUAGCUCAGCGGCAAGAGCACCGGUCCCACACACCGGUUGCCCGGGUUCGAGUCCCGGCACGGGUA
rnacentral:tRNA from 1 species